rnacentral:rRNA from 1 species
UACGGGGGGGGCAAGCGUUGUUCGGAAUUAUUGGGCGUAAAGGGCGCGUAGGCGGCUUUUCAAGUGACGGGUGAAAUCCCUCGGCUUAACCGAGGAACUGCCUGUCAGACUGGAAGGCUUGAGACCGGGAGAGGUGAGUGGAAUUCCCAGUGUAGCGGUGAAAUGCGUAGAUAUUGGGAGGAACACCAGUGGCGAAGGCGGCUCACUGGACCGGAACUGACGCUGAGGCGCGAAAGCUAGGGGAGCAAACAGG